ACUCCCAUGCCUUCUCGGACGUUCUCCGCUGUCGCCGCCGCCGCUCGUGUCGCACAAGCUCCCUCCACCGCCGCUCGUGUCGCACAAGCUUCUUCCACUGCCGCUCUCAAUGCAUUUGAUCCUUUCGUCAUCACACGAGCUCUCUCGGCCGUGCUCUUGUCUUACGAGCUCCCUCCCCCGCCGCUCUCGCGCUGCUUCUUCUCUCCUCGCCGGAUGUUUGUCAUUGUCUCUUCUCGUCGCUGUUAGUUCAGAAUACGAUCGAGGAGAGCUCUUAUGUUUGCAAAUCAGCUGUUGCUGCUGCAGAGAACGGCGUUUAAUUGAUUCUGAUAACUCAUUCUUACAGAUAACUCCCUGUUUCAAAAAUUUGGAAUGAAAAGGAAAAUGCUGCUGAGGAACACAGACGGAAUUUAGCAGAAUACAGGAAAUUCUUGGAGUCAUGUGAUUAUAUGAAGGUUCACAGUCCAUGGCGAAAAGUCCAAGAUCGGUUAGAGGACGAUGAUAGAUAUUUACGGCUUGAAGAAAUUGACCGCUUGCUUGUUUUCCAGUUUUUUGCUUCCAAUGGUUUUCCAUGUCCUGCACUCCAAAACCCUUCUGAU